rnacentral:rRNA from 1 species
GUCUAUGGCCAUGUCACCCUGAAUAAGCCCGAUGUUUGAUCUCGGAAGCUAAGCAAGGUCAGGCCUGGUUAGUACUUGGAUGGGAGACCACCUAGGAAUACCAGAUGCUGUAGGUA